CACUAUCUGCGAGCCUCGUCUCCUUGUGAUUCUUCUGAGAGAUUUGGCUACAAAAUAAUUGGCGUCAGGAAAGGUCUCGGCAGAAAAGGACAGCUCUACAAAUCUGCACCUUGACAUUGCAAAGCGGUGGCAAAAAAGAGACGGCAGAGAAAGGUAUAAGAGCAGAGGUUUUAGAGAAGUAGAGACAGAUCAUCGAGUGCUGGGGGAACCUGUGAGACUCUGAAGACGUCUGUGAGACGAAGGACAGCGCUGUGAUUCAUCAGAGCGAUCGAUUCCUACAGUGACAGCUGAGAGAGAUUGGACGACAUCCAGCAAGUGGCCCCAGACAGGAAUCCAUCUCAGGCUGUGCCGUGAAGACUCAGCCUUAACACAUAGUCACGCCCUACCAGGAAAACACGAGUUAAACCCAAAAACCAUCACUUAACUCCCGAAAUAAAGCGUCCAAAAUGGGAAAUGUACCAUCAGAAAGUAACAUGGGCAACUUCCUGAGAUGCUGCAAGUGUGGGACAGUCCUGCCACCAUGUCAUUCCUUCGAAAAUAUAGCCCAGUGUUAUGUUGAAGGGCGGCACGUGUAUGUUUUCAACGGAGGUGAAUACUACAGACCAGUGAACAGUAAUGUUGACAGUAAUGAGUAUGAGUGUAGAUCCUGCUUCCAUAAAUAGGCCAGGGAUCAGGAGGAAAUGAGGAGAGAGGAGGAGAGGAGGAGAGAGAAGGAAAGGAGGGGAGAGGAGGAGAGAAGAUGGGAGGAGAAACGAGGAGAGGAGGAGACAGGAGGACAGGAGGAGAGGUAGAGAAAAGGAGAGAAGAGGAGAGGAGGAGAGAAGAACUGAAUCAAAGACUGACAGAAUUGCAGCAGCGAGCUGAGCAGCAGCUGGGGAAACAACAAUGCAGAGACAUUUCAGAAGACACUUUGUUCUUAUCACACAUCUGGAUGAGUUUGAGGUGAACCAUGAACCAGACCGGGAACAUCCAGUCAGUCCUUGACUAACUUCUGUUUGAUGAAUGGAUGAGUGCUCGCCCAUCCCUCAGCACUCUGCAGCACACUCAGGUGUCUGUGGAAAUUGAUUUUUGGAUUUGAUUACAUGCACCUAAAACAGAUAAAGCAAAUUAUGCAGUGUUGGGGAAGCUACUUUGCAAGCGUAGCUUGUAAAACUACAUGUAGUUCAGCCUGGCAGUGGUUUUCUGCCCCUGGAGAAAUGUAGUUUGUAAAACUACUACAACAAAAAAAGUAGCUUUACUCAUUUAUUCCAGCAUUAAAUAAAUCAACAUAUGGAGUAUAUGAAACAAGUUUUAAUUUUAAAGAACAAAAUCUGACAUUUUCAGUCAACAUCACAGGAACUUCAGAGGCACUAACACUAGAACUAGAUGCCAGGGCAGAAUCGCUCGUUGACACGACACAUGAGCAGUUUCUCAAAGUUUUUAUCAGACAGCCGGUUCCGUUUGGCACUAAAAACAUCUUUACCGACACUAAAAAGCCGCUCACGUGCUGCACUGGCUGGGACACCAGCGUUGAACUUCACAAACACUUUGGACAUUUUGGGUGGGGAUUUGAAAGCGUUUUGUGGGGACUCAUCUGGUGAUUUCUUUGAAGUCGAAAUUUUCGUUGUUUUCGGCGUGCAGAGCUCGCAUGUGAACAUGUAGGUGGUGUCUGUAGAUGCAUCUAUAUCCAACAUGUACAUGCUCAAAUCGGGGGUUAGUGGGAGAGUUGUCCAUGACGUGCUUGUGCCAUAUGUGCACUGCCUUCCUAGGCACAAAGACCCACCCACUCUGUGAAGCAUUUGAGUGCUGCCAGGGCAAGCCAAUCAGAGGCAGCUAUGACUGAACAUGUCAUGACAUGUUUCAUGCCUUUUUUCAAAGAAAAAUCAAAUAAAAUGUAAAUUUGGGGGGGGGGGGGUUGAUAUACAAAAAAAAAAAAAUGUUUUGUGUUGUUGGCCAAAAUUGUAGAUUGUAAACUGAGUAGUUAAACUACAAAAAAAUGACCCAAAAAGUAGUUGAAAUACUUGAUGCAGCACAAAAUAUGAAUGUAGUUUAACAACUAGCAAGUUACAGCAAAGUGUAGUUAAGCUGUGCAGUUCAACUACAUGUAGUUUAAGUCUCCCCAACACUGAAACUGUGUGCAUGUUGCCUUCUUCUGACACAGUAAUGAUAGAAACAUUUUAAUAGAUUGUAAGGAUGUAUUGCUGUGACUAAUGAUAGUUUGUUAUUAGAAUAUUACCACUGGAGAGCAUCAUCUGUAUUAAUUACAUUAUAAUGAUCCACCCACCAUAUUGAUAGUGUUGGUUAGCCAAUGUUGAAUCAAAACAAGUUGGUGCUGUUUCACAGAAACAAAGAUCAGUAAACUUCAAAUAUCAUUGUUUGAUUGUAAGUGAGCUUAACAAGUCGAUUUUGUAUCAGUUGAUCAUCUAAAGUAUGUUUCUGUUUCAAAAGGAAUCCUCAAAUCAAUUGUGUCACCGGCUUUUCAUCAAUGAUUUUGUGGACAUGCAAAAUUCCUGUUAGUGUCCUGAUGCAUGUUAUUAAAGUUGAAUAAACUAUACUUUGAUUGUA